GUAAGUUCAAAGGAGAAACUCAGAGGGUUAGUCUUCUCAAAGAGGCACAAGGAGCUCAGAGUACCAGUGUUGGUUAAUCAUCAGACACUGAAUGAAGGCUCCGCUGCUCCUUAAAUGCUGUUGGCAGCUUGAUUGGAACUGUCGCCCAGGUGUGCUGGCUGCCAGAUUCCCACGCACUGCCACAGAGAUCCUCUAGGGAGCAGAUGACUCACACUCACACAACUCAGAACACCCACACUGCAGGAUCACGACAGUCUGGACCUUAAUUAUUGUAUCUUAUAUAGCAGAUACAUGGCAGCCUCAUGUCUAUCAAACUGACCAAGGUCAGCUGUCGGUAAUGUGUAGUAGGUUACCACCAUUAACAUGUGAAUAGCAUGUUUCCAUCCAAUUGUCAAGUGAAUUUUGAGAACAUAUUUAAAAUGUUGCAAGAAAGAAAAAACAGAAAAUGCAUAUUAGGCGUGUUGCCAUCUAGUGGUUUGAAGCGAAUCAACCAGAUUGCACAAAAAAAAAAUUUUGUCAGAUGUUGAUGCAAACUAGCAAGGACCACAUGUCUCAGAAAAGUGGAGAGAGUCCUCCCCUCCAAUUUGGUUUGGUGUCCCACCACUCCCGUCCCAGGCUGGACUGCCUCUGGUCGGCCACUCCAGGCUGACACUUCUACCCCGCUGUGCUGGAGGUUUGGACCCUGGAAGUUUGUUAAGUCAGAACUGAUUCGGCAGUUGUGUUUACAUCUCCACUUUAGAACAUGAACUCUUUUAUGUAAAAAAGUUUUUGCAAAAUUGAGGAAGUUAUUUUGAGUUUGCAUCUUCCAUGAACCUUUUCUAAUGCUAUACUUAAAAAUGCGCAGAAGAAAAAUGUAUGUGUGAAUGGGUGAAUGACUGAAUGUAGUGUGAAGCACUUUGGGGACCUCUGGCCCUGAUGAACACUACAGAAGUACAGGGCAUGUACCCUGUCAAUGAAUCCCAAAUAAUAAGUAGAACGAACAAGAGAGACAGCAAUACAUGUUGUAUGAUUUAUUUCUGUCUGUUGUCUUUUCUUUCUUUCUUUCUUCCUUUUUAGAAAAAAAACAUUAUAAUUUCUCUCUAUCUCAGAGCAUUUUGUCCUUUACUCCGGGGCCAGACAUUAAUGGUGACCCCUAGCAAAUUUGUCUUCAGACUUGGAGUUCAGAAUCACUCUGAGACUUUUGCUCCUGUCUGGAUUUAAAAUCUUACUUAACCCUUUAACUGCCACCCCAAAUACUGUCACAUGCAGGUCAAUGGGUCAUUCGGACACAUGGCAGUUGAACUUUAUGAUUAUUAUGAACCAAGAACAAAGGGUAGAGUAUCCAAAGUAGCCUAGUAGCCAACUUGACGCAGAUCUCCCUGAUAGCAUGGACCUAUCUGAAUCUUUGGUCAUCUACAGAAGUUCUUGGAUGACUCAGCUGUAUCAGUGAGGGUGAUGAGGUUGAGUACCGGGUCACCCCCAACCAACACCCGAACAUCGAGCACAUGCCCCCUAACGCAGACGUCACUAAUCCCAGCCAUGAGGGACAGCCUCAUGAGAGCUCCGCCCCCAAAAACCCGGUCCAGUUUGUCUCCAGACAGGCUUUUACAGUCUUCCCAUGUUGUCCAUUGAAGGCUCAUCGCUGGGCUCUUGACCGCUGCUGUCAUGAAGUGGAGUUGGUGAUGAGGAAGAGUUGAGGUGGAGGAAAAAUGAUUUAAUGUGGUCAGAAAUCCAGAAAACACUCAGGAACAGCCGGCGCAACGUGGAGCGACAACACAGAGCCCAAUGGGAGUCUAGAAAAAUGCAAGAGAUGCAUCAAGGCCUGCAGUCGACCUCAUGUCCAGUUGAAUGAAACGGAGAUCUGCAGCCUUUCCCUCCUGCUCAUCUGUAUGAAGCCAAGCGCACGAGGCUAUGAAGAAAGUGGCCAAUUUAAUCAAUGAGAGGAAGCGGCGGCUGGAGAGCAUCGACACCAUCGCACACUGGCAGGUCGCCAUUCUGCACUGGGAGGGCCCUGAUGUGCUAGAGCGCAGCUCGGAGCUGGAUCCACUCCGGCGAGCUGACCCACGCCGUCCGGCAGGGUAAGCCGCAGCAGCGCAGCUACUUCCUGUUCGACCACGAACUGCUAUACAGUAGUUAAGCUGUAUAGUGUAGUAUGUAGUGCAUGCUAUUCAUCGACUUCAGUUCAACAUCUAAUGCCAUCAUUCUGGAGAAGCUCAUUGUAAAGCUACAUAACCUUGGAUUUUUUCAACAUCUUCGGAUCAGGGACUUUCUCACCAACCAGCCUCAGGUGGUGAGAAUAAGGAACCGAACAGCCUCCACCCUGGUCCUCCUCCAGGCAUACCACAGGGCUGUGGGCUUAGUCUGGUUCUAUUUACACUGGUCACCCAUGACUGUGUAGCCAUCCACUCAUCUAACAGGGUUCUAAAGUUUGUUGAUACCACCAUAGAGGGGUUGAUAACAAACAAUGAUGAGGCCCUCUACAGAGGAGGUGCAGCACCUGUCCCAGUGGUGUUCAGUGAACAACCUUCUGUUCAACACACAGGACAGUGCACACACCUGUUAUCAUUCAAGGGGAAGGGGUGGAGUACGUGGACAACAUCAAAUUCCCGGGCGUCCACAUCACCUCAGACUUGAUCUGGUUGCUGACCACCUCUUUUCUGACAAGGAAGGGCCCAACAAAGACUCUUCUUCCUCAGGAAACUGAGAAGGGAUGGAUUCCCUGUUCAAUCGAUCAAAAACUCCUACAGAGACACGACUGAGAGCAUCUUCUGCCUCAGUAUAACUGUGUAGUACAGCAACUGCACAGUUCAGGACAAAAAGGACAUGGCCCGGGUGGUGAAAACUGCUCAAUUAUCAUGGGGAGUCAAUUACCAAACCUCGACUGCUGGCAGACUGCAAAGGAAGGUCAGUCGUAUUUCUGUUGAUCAAACCCACCCAGAGCACAAACUGUUUGUACUGCUGCCGUGUGGGGAAAUGGCACAGGUACAUAAAGACAAUAACCACGUGGCUAAGGAACAACUUUUUCCCAAGAAAUUCUGUGAAAUUCAUCUGUCCACCUUCUGUCCCCUCUGCAGAAACAAUCACACCCAUUUGCUUCACUUUAAGGACUUUGUAUGUUCUAGAAACAUAAUAAUAGAUAAAAAAAAAAAACGUAUGUCUCAUAAUUGUAAACAAAGCCACCGAGGAGACGAUAAUGACUGAUUGGACAGAAAAGUCAGGGCACAGACCUGGAAAUAAAACAAACAUGGAACUUCUGUGAGCUGCAAUUCUGUUAUUACUAGCAAUCCCAUUUUGAAUGUCAAGAGCAGCUCAUUCAAUGCAAGUUUUGUGAUGUAAUAUUUCUAAUUUUGGAACGCUGAAAGCUGAAUAAGACAGUAUCCUCUACGCGUCCAGACCCACAACAUCCUGACAGCAGGAGACAGCAAGUCAGGUAUGAUUUCAGUACAUGCAGUGGUAGCAUUCGCAACACUGAAGGGAGAAUUCUUCCCAUGAUGCAACAGUGGAUUGUGAAGUAUAAAAAAGGCCUAUGCUCCCUGUAGCUGGUUCAGAUUGAGGCAGGUCUGAAUUCACACCAGGAGCGAACCGUGCAGGAGUUAAUGUGGAAAGCGGACCGAGACAACCUCAGAAAGCAGGUUUCAGUGCAGCUGUUUGAUAUGCUCUGUGGUUCCCUUGAAUGUAUUCACACAAAAGUUUAUGAACCAAUGAGGAAACAAACUCUGGUCUUUAAAGUGGACCAAAAGUGGCCGGACACCCUACAAUGCUGUGAAGUAGAAGUAUCAUCAAACAUUUGCUAAAACUGUCCCUGUUGUUUUGGGCAGAUGCUCCAAGAUCUGAUGUGGUGUCCAGCAAUCCUUUUAAAGCCUGUUCAUGUAUUGAGACUUCUGAUAAAACUAUCCAAGACUAGAGUGUGCUAACCAGCCCUUUCUGUACAUUUCAGGUUGAAUUAAAGGUAGCAGUUUUUGUAUUUUUAUUGAUAAGACCCAUUACGACACUCCUUUUGUGUAUGCACUUGUCUUAACACUCUGUUUCCUUGUCUUUAUUGAAAGAAGCCAUUAUACUUUCUUUAUCUUGUUUUCCUGUGAGCUGUGUUCCCUUAGCUAAGCUGCCCCAUUUUGGCUGCCUUAAGCAGAUAUUCAGCUAUUGGCGUAAUGUUUAAGUUGUAUUUUUUUU